CCUACGGGUGGCAGCAGUGAGGAAUAUUGGUCAAUAGACGAGAGUCUGAACCAGCCAAGUAGCGUGAAGGAUGACUGCCCUAUGGGUUGUAAACUUCUUUUAUAUGGGAAUAAAACGUUCCACGUGUGGGAUUUUGUAUGUACCAUAUGAAUAAGGAUCGGCUAACUCCGUGCCAGCAGCCGCGGUAAUACGGAGGAUCCGAGCGUUAUCCGGAUUUAUUGGGUUUAAAGGGAGCGUAGGUGGAUUGUUAAGUCAGUUGUGAAAGUUUGUGGCUCAACCGUAAAAUUGCAGUUGAAACUGGCAGUCUUGAGUACAGUAGAGGUGGGCGGAAUUCGUGGUGUAGCGGUGAAAUGCUUAGAUAUCACGAAGAACUCCGAUUGCGAAGGCAGUUCACUGGACUGCAACUGACACUGAGGCUCGAAAGUGUGGGUAUCAAACAGGAUUAGAUACCCGUGUAGUC
rnacentral:rRNA from 1 species